rnacentral:lncRNA from 1 species
GGAUGGGGUGGGAGGGAAGGACAGGAUCCCACCGCUUUUUCGGCAGGGACUGUAACAUGUCAAGGAGAGAGCAUCUAAUUAAGACUUUGUCUGGAUGUGGCCGGAAGACAGGAGCUAGUGAGAGCACUUGGGAGGGGGUCAGGGACAGCUGUGUGCUUGGGACAACCUUGUACUUUGUUGAGGGCUCAGAUCCACGGGGACCACGGAAGGCUCCAGAAGAAACAUCGGCUUGGACUCCUAGAGCAGAGGCUUCCUUCCCCGAGGCGCCGCAGAGGUGGGGCCGUUGGCUCUCCAGGAACCAUGCAGCCCGCACAGUUUCACCCCUCAGCCACCCCAUGCCCCUACAGGACCCAGUGACGUCCCCAGGGGGGGACUGGCUUUUCCUCGCUUUCUCUCCUCUUUGGCCAUUUCAAGGACACCGAAAAGCCCUACGCUGUGAGGCGCAGCCAGGAAGAAACUUCCGCUGCUGCCCCUGCCACCUGUCAAAGGGCUCCUUCCCCAGUGCAGGUGGAGGGCGGCUGCGGGCUGGGGGCUGGAGGGCGUGGUCAGAAGUCACUGGGCCUUGUGGUCUUCAGGACCUUUGCACUCCCCCUCCUCUCCUCCCGUCUCCUCUCCUGCUGCCUUCUCCUUCCUGCCCCCCCCCCCGCUCCCUCUCCGUGUCCCCUCCUCCCCUUUUCUCAUCUCCCAUUGACAUCAUGACAUCAUCCCCUGGCUGUCCGCUCACUCAGCCACGCGGUUACUCGGUGAACGUCUGAAUCACCAACAUGGCAGGUGCCCCACCAGCUGCGGCAACCCCGGGAUGGGGUCGAGAGAGUGAGAGACGGAGUGUGUGCAGGGGAGGGGCAGAGAGAGAGGGAGACACAGAAUCCAAAGCAGGCUCCGGGUUCCGAGCCAUCAGCACAGAGCCCGACGCGGGGCUUGAACUCAUGGACCGCGAGAUCGUGACCUGAGCCGAAGUCGGAGGCUCAACCGACUGAGCCACCCAGGCGCCCGGAGAGAAAGUGCUUUCUUAUUCAUUCCCAUCC